UUGAUAGCUGGAAUGAAAGGCUGGACGAGGGAAAGACUGUCUCUAUUUAAUUUAAUUAGAAUUUUAUUUUUAAGUAAGAAAGCUUAAAUAAUUUUGAAAGACGAGAAGACCCUAUAGAAUUUUAUAUUUAUUUUGAUGUUGGGGUGUGAGGAAUAGUUGGCUUUGGCAUUAUUAGACAUAUUUUGUUGGGGCGAUAGAAAAAUUUAAGGAACUUUUUUUAUAUUUAUCCAUUAAUUUAUGAGUAAAUGAUCCAUUAUUUAUGAUUAUAAGAUUAAAUUACCUUAGGGAUAACAGCGUAAUCUUUUUUAAGAGUUCUUAUCGAAAAAAGGGAUUGCGACCUCGAUGUUGGAUUAAAAUUAACUUUUGGUGUAGGGGCUAAAACGUUAGGUCUGUUCGACCUUUAAAAUUUUACA
rnacentral:rRNA from 1 species